CCUACGGGAGGCAGCAGUGGGGAAUAUUGCACAAUGGGGGAAACCCUGAUGCAGCGACGCCGCGUGAGGGAAGAAGUACCUCGGUAGGUAAAGCUCUAUCAGCAGGGAAGAAAAUGACGGUACCUGAUUAAGAAGCCCCGGCUAACUAGGUGCCAGCAGCCGCGGUAAUACGUAGGGGGCAAGCGUUAUCCGGAUGUACUGGGUGUAAAGGGGGCGUAGACGGCAGCUCAAGUCAGGAGUGAAAGGCCGGGGCUUAACCCCGGAACUGCCUUUGAAACUGUGCAGCUAGAGUGCAGGAGAGGUAAGUGGAAUUCCUAGUGUAGCGGUGAAAUGCGUAGAUAUUAGGAGGAACACCAGUGGCGAAGGCAGCUUACUGGACUGUAACUGACGUUGAGGCUCGAAAGCGUGGGGAGCAAACAGGAUUAGAUACCCGGGUAGUC
rnacentral:rRNA from 1 species